rnacentral:rRNA from 1 species
GCGCGAAAACUUUACAAUGCUGGCAACAGCGAUAAGGGAACCUCGAGUGCCAGGUUACAAAUCUGGCUGUCGAGAUGCCUAAAAAGCAUUUCAUAGCAAGGGCCGGGCAAGACCGGUGCCAGCCGCCGCGGUAACACCGGCGGCUCGAGUGGGAACCGUUAUUAUUGGGUCUAAAGGGUCUGUAGCCGGCCGGAUAAGUCUCUUGAGAAAUCUGGCAGCUUAACUGUCAGGCUUUCAGGAGAUACUGUCUGGCUCGAGGCCGGGAGAGGUUAGAGGUACUUCAGGGGUAGGGGUGAAAUCUUGUAAUCCUUGAAGGACCACCAGUGUCGAAGGCGUCUCACCAGAACGGACCUGACGGCAAGGGACGAAAGCUAGGGGCACGAACC